rnacentral:lncRNA from 1 species
AUGCUGGUUAUUCUCCAUUUACCACCCCUUGGAUACAUUCUCAAUCCCCUCAGGCAUCCUCUGUGUCCUAAGAGGCUGACCUAUGAGCUGCAUCUCCUGACCUUCUGGCUUCUGUUUGGAAACAACCAGUGGGAAGCACCAGUAGGAGUGUGGAGGUUGGGUGGUAAUAACAGGUCUCAUGAGAGUUGUCUUAGAAAGCACUUUAAGAGAUCUACAACAAGCAAAGAGCUGGAUUUCUGGAUUGCCUGGGCCUGGGCCUGGGAUCCUUGGUUUAAAAAGAGUCACUGUCAUAAACAGAGUUAUUUUAUGAACAGGGGAGGGACAAAGAGAGGAGGAGGACAGAGCAUCUGAAGCUGGCUCUGUGCUGACAGCAGCGAGCCUAAUGCAGGGCUUGAACUCAAACCCAUGAGAUCAUCACCUGACCCAAAGUCGUAUGCUCAACCGACUGAGCCACCCAGGUGCCUCAGGUAUGUGCUUUAUAAAUAUCUUACACACUAGGUGGCUUGCUCAUUUAUUCUCUUAAUAUAUCUUUUGAUGAAUAAAUACUUCAAUUUUAAUAAUGUCA